GUUGGAUCUAAAACCAGAUGUCUUUGAAGAAACUAUCAGGUCUGGUAAGAAUAAGAGGAAACAAAAUGUUAUUGGCAUGCUCAAUAAUGAUAAAGCCAAGAUGUCACCUGCCAGUACAAUGAAGAGGGACUGGGGUCUUGGCACUAAAAGUCUCCCUGAAUUGCCAUCAUGUCAUGAAAAAUACUUUGUUUUAAACUUAAUGGAAUGGAUUGUCAUUUUGGUGGAUUUUUGCCAGUGAAGAAUUUAUCAGACUCAAUAGCCUCCAUCACUUGGCAGGACAGAAAGGCCUCGAAAGCCUCUUUCAGUAUCUCUGAGCAUACCUAACAUUUAGAAAGGUAGGCCUGUGUAGCAAGUGUGAAAGUGUUCCUCUCCAUGCCCUUACGGCUUUACUCAACCAUGUUUCCUCUUUUAUCAUUUAUUGGAAAAACCUUUUACUAUCUCUUCUUACUUCCUUUCCUUUGUUAGCUACAAAGGGAAGAUUUUCUUUUGCAAAUCCUUAGUAAUUAAAUGAGCACUUCAGUGGCUGUAGCCCUCAAUGGCCUGUUUCCUAGGUUUUGCCUUUGACAGUCAUAUUUUGCAAAGGCCCCUGAGAUGACUCUGCAUCUUCCCCUACUCAACGCUAAACCAACUGAAGCCCGUGCUCACUGCAUGAAGGAGGAAAAGAUUCAUUAAGGGCACUUCAUUAAGAGGCUGAAAUGGGAAGCUCUAAAUGCGCCUGAACCAACUACAAUCCAGAGAAGCUGUCUAUUAGGAGUGCCACAAAGACAGUUUCGGAAGCUAAACUCCAGCUCCAGUGCAUCGGAUUAGGAAGAGUGAUGGGAUUAGUGUUUAAUGACUUGGGGCAGGAGACAAAGGGAAUUUCGACAAAGAGGCUUAGAUAUGGAAGAAUUAACACUCUGUAUUCCAACCAGGCCUCUGAUGACUUCCAGCAUUCUUUUCAGACUCAAAAGCCAAGGGAAGGGAAUAAAAAAAAAAAAAAGAUGUGCAAAGCUUUAAUACUUUUCUAACUUUUUUUAUUGCAACAACAAUACAGAGGAAAUAAAAGAACCCUAUUCACUCCUUUGGACUUGAAACCUCUUUUAAAAAUAAGCAUCUACAAUUGUAUAAUUAGCCCCAAGGUGAGCUUGCCCAGGGCCUCAAACAUGUGCCAGAAUGCUUCUCUGCUUCCUAAUGCUAGGGCAAGUCACAAACUGAUGUGGACACUAAAGCAAAACCUAUGGUAGCAGAGGCCCAGCUAAGUGGCUGUACAAGAUUUUUUUCUCUCCAUGGCUGUUUAUGUUACAGGUGCAACUGAAGGAACAGAGAAACUGUGUAAUUGUAAAACCUCCUUGUGGCCCCACAUGGCUCAUACUCAAAUGAUUCCAGUGUCUAUGGCCUGAGAAGUGCUUCAUGAAAUGAGGAACAGUGCCUCAAGUCAGAGAUUGGCAUGGUGAGUCGCCGGGAGGUGGAAAAGAGGCACAGCUUCAUUGAAGCUACAGUUGGCUGCAAGGAACCAUUUCAAAUCAUCUUAGUUCUACGGGGCCAUUCAGGUGGCAAAGGCCCAGGUAACAUUUGAUCAAGUUGCUACAGGGCUUGGACCUACUUUUAUUGCCCCUUACUUUUCCCACUAACAUUUUUGCUUGAAAUAUCGAUGUUUUUUUGGUGCAGCAAAACUCUUUUCCCACAGCUAAAUUGAAGUAGGGCAUAUGUGCUUCCCUCACCUCGCUCCCAGUCCCUCUUGACCCCGAAAUGGUCUAGCAGCCUGUGCUUUGUUAAACUGAAAAUGUGUAGAAAUUUUUAUAGAGAUAUUCAGCUAUAUAAAUAGCUUUGAAAUUUGUCAUAACUUUAAAAACAGGUCAAAAAGGAAAUUGAACAGCUAGUGAGUUUCUGUCUUAGUCCGUUUUGUGCUGCUAUAACAGAAUACCAUAAACUAGGUAAUUUAUAAACAAUAGAAGUUUAUUUGUCUCAAUGGCCAACAAGCAUAUGGAAAAAUGUUCAACAUCACUAAUUAUCAGGGAAAUACAAAUCAAAACCACAGUGCGAUACCACGUAACUUCUGCAAUAAUGGUCAUAAUCAAAAAAUAAUAAUAAAUAAAUAGAUGUUGGCAUGGAUAUGGUGAAAAGGGAACACUUUUACUGGGUUGGUGGGAAUGUAAACUAGCACAACCACUAUAGAAAACAGUAUGGAGACUCCUUAAAGAACUAAAAGUAGACCUACCAUUUGACCUAGCAACCCCACUGCUAUGUAUCUGCUCAGAAGUAAAGAAGUCAUUAUACAAAAAAGACACUUGUUACAUGCAUGUAUAUAGCAGUACAAUUGCCCAAAUGCCCAUCAAUCAAUGAGUGGAUAAAAAAUGUUAUAUACAUACAUAUAUGUGUGUGUAUAUAUACAUAUACAUAUACACACACACACACAUACACACACACACACACACACACACACAUAUACCAUGGAAUACUGCUCAGCCAAAGAAAGGAAUGAAAUAAUGGGAUUUGCAGCAACCUGGAUGGAAUUGGAGGCUAUUAUUCUAAGUGAAGUAACUCAGGAAUAGAUAACCAAACAUACAUGUUCUCACUCAUAUGUGGGAACUAAGCUAUGAGAAUGCAAAGGCAUAAGAAUGAUAUAUUGGAGUUUGGAGACUCAAAGGAAAGAGUGGGGGAGAGGGAGGGAUAAAAGACUACACAUUGGGUACAGUAUACAAUGCUUGAGUGAUGGGUGCAACAAAAUCUCAGAAAUCCCCACUAAUGAGCAUAUUCAUGUAACAAAAUACCAUCUGUUCCCCAAAACUUAUUGAAAUAAAAAAUAAAAAAUUAAUGAUAAUAACAAUAAAAAGAAGUUUAUUUGUCUUAUGUUUCUGGAGGCCAGGAAGUCCAAGAUCAAGGGGUUGCAUCUAGUGGGGGUCUUCUUGCUGAGUCAUAACCUGGCAGAAGACAUCACAUGAAGAGAGAAUGGAUGAGAGCCAGCAAGCAAGAGAGGGCCAAACUUGCUUUUAUAACAAACCCAUUCCUGACAUCAUGAACUUACCCCUGCCAUAAUGACAUUAAUCCAUUCCAGGGGGCAAAGCUCUCAUGACCUAAUCACCUCUCAAAAGUGCCACCUCUCGAUGCUGUUGCAUUGGGGAUUAAGUUUCCAACACAUGAACUCUGGGGAGAUGCAUUCAAACCUUAGCAGUUUAA
rnacentral:lncRNA from 1 species